GACGAACGCUGGCGGCGUGCCUAAUACAUGCAAGUAGAACGCACAGUUUAUACCGUAGCUUGCUACACCAUAGACUGUGAGUUGCGAACGGGUGAGUAACGCGUAGGUAACCUGCCUGGUAGCGGGGGAUAACUAUUGGAAACGAUAGCUAAUACCGCAUAAUAUUGAUUAUUGCAUGAUAAUUGAUUGAAAGAUGCUAUUGCAUCACUACCAGAUGGACCUGCGUUGUAUUAGCUAGUAGGUGAGGUAACGGCUCACCUAGGCGACGAUACAUAGCCGACCUGAGAGGGUGAUCGGCCACACUGGGACUGAGACACGGCCCAGACCCCUACGGGAGGCAGCAGUAGGGAAUCUUCGGCAAUGGACGAAAGUCUGACCGAGCAACGCCGGGUGAGGGAAGAAGGUUUUCGGAUCGUAAAGCUCUGUUGUAAGAGAAGAACGGGUGUGAGAGUGGAAAGUUCACACUGUGACGGUAUCUUACCAGAAAGGGACGGCUAACUACGUG
rnacentral:rRNA from 1 species